GUUUGGGCGACUUCGGAAUAUCAAAUUUUUCACCAGGCCCGGUCGUCCUGCCAAAUUUCAUGAGUUUUCACCAGUGGGAAGUGGGCCAUUUUCCAGUUCAAAGGGGAGGAAAAAUAACUAGGGCCCCGGUGGGGCACUGUCGGGCCCGAGCCGCGUCGCGCCGCCCCUAGCGCGACCGCCUCCCCCUCCCGAUCGCGUCACACUCAAGGUCCAAAGAUGGUGUGCGCACUUGUCUGUGGUCAUUUCCCAUUAUAAUGAAUGGGAGGCGCAGUUUCUACCAAAACACUCGCUGCAGACAAACUUCAUGUCCUAUUUGAAAAAAGUCUGGACCAUGAGUGAGGGCACAAACACAGCUAUGAUAUAUCGAAAUGGCAGGUUGCUCCUCCUUACGGUGUUGCCUGGAGAGCGAUGCGAUUGAGCCAUUGAGCGAUGGGCAGGGUUAACUUGACUUUUUCUCCUGCCUUGGGGGGGAUGUGGAUUCCUUUAAGAAUGUGGAUUUUUGGGUCAUCUUUGGCGCCCCCUAGAACGUAAACCGUGGGGUGCAGCGUCAUGAUUUUUACAACUUUGAAUGGCCAUGGGGUGUAGAUUGGCCUGAGCAAAUUUGGUGUCAGUGGGACGAAAGCCUUAGGAGGAGUUAGCCACAUUCCAAUGUGUGCGAAUCGGCAAAAAAUGCAAAAUAGCCCUUUAACCGUACAUUUGACAGAUACGCGCACAUUGACUUUUUUGUAGAUCUUAUUGAGAUACAUAUGUGUGUCAAUUUUUGUGUCAAUAUGAUAAAGCGUACAGGCGUGACAGUCAAUAGUGUGAAUUUCCACCUUAGGGGACAAGAAAAAAUUGACUUUUUUCUCCUGCCAUGGGGGGGCGCUCUUUUGGGGAGUAAAAAUUCCUUCACAAAUGUGUUGAUGGCUGGACAUUGCAUCAUCCUAGAAAACUUGGAGGCCAGUGAGGACAAAAAUAAAAAGUUAUAAGACUUUUAAAUAUGUGGAUUUUAGUGUUAUCUUUGGCGCCCCCUAGAACCUAAACCUUGGGGUGCAGCGUCAUGAUUUGAAUAACUUUUAAUGGCCAUGGGGUGUAGAUUGGCCUGAGCAAAUGUGGUGCCGGUGGAACGAAAGCCUUCGGAGGAGUUAGCGAAAUUCCAAUGUGUGCGGAUCGGCAAAAAAUGCGGAAUAACCCUUUAACCGUACAUUUGACAGAUACGCGCGCAUUGACUUUUUCGUAGAUCUUAUUGAGAUACAUGUGUGUGUCAAUUUUUGUGUCAUUUUGCCAAAGCAUACAAGUGUUACACUCAACAAUGUGUAUUUUCACCUUAGGGGACAAGAAAAAAUGGACUUUUUUCUCCUGCCAUGGGGGGGCGCUCUUUUGGGGAUUAAAAAUUCCUUCACAAAUGUGUUGAUGGCUGGACAUUGCAUCAUCCUAGAAAACUUGGAGGCCAGUGAGGGCAAAAAUAAAAAGAUAUAAGACUUUUAAAUAUGUGGAUCUUAGGUGUAUCUUUGGCGCCCCCUAGAACCUAAACCGUGGGGUGCAGCGUCAUGAUUUGAAUAACUUUUAAUGGCCAUGGGGUGUAGAUUGGCCUGAGCAAAUGUGGUGCCGGUGGAACGAAAGCCUUCGGAGGAGUUAGCGAAAUUCCAAUGUGUGCGGAUCGGCAAAAAAUGCGAAAUAACCCUUUAACCGUACAUUUGACAGAUACGCCCGCACUGACUUUUUUGUAGAUCUUAUUGAGAUACAUGUGUGUGUCAAUUUUUGUGUCAUUUUGACAAAGCGUACACGCGUGACAGUCAAUAGUGUGAAUUUUCACCUUAGGGGGCGCUAUGGAGCCAUUUUGCAUUUUCUUGUUUGGGCGACUUCGGAAUAUCAAAUUUUUCACCAGGCCCGGUCGUCCUGCCAAAUUUCAUGAGUUUUCGCCAGUGGGAAGUGGGCCAUUUUCCAGUUCAAAGGGGAGGAAAAAUAAUAACUAGGGCCCCGUUGGGGCACUGGCGGGCCCGAGCUGUGUCACGCCGCCCCCAACACGACCGCCUCUCCCUCCCGAUCGCGUCACACUCAAGGUUCAACGAUGGUGUGCGCACUUGUCUGUGGUCAUUUACCAUUAUAAUGAAUGGGAGGCGCAGUUUCUACCAAAACGCUUGCUGCAGACAAACUACAUGUCCUAUUUGAAAAAAGUCUGGACCAUGAGUGAGGGCACAAACACAGCUAGGAUAUAUCCAAAUGGCAAGUUCCUCCUCCUUUCGUUUUUUUCCGAGAGAGCGAUGUGUUUGAGCCAUUGAGCGAUGGGCAGGAAAAACUUGACUUUUUCUCCUGCCAUGGGGGGGCACUCUUUUAGGGAGAAAAAAUUCCUUCACAAAUGUGUUGAUGGCUAGACAUUGCAUCAUCCUAGAAAACUUUGAAGCCAGUGAGGACAAAAAUGAAAAGUUAUAAGACUUUUAAGAAUGUGGAUUUUUGGGUUAUCUUUGGCGACCCCUAGAACGUAAACCGUGGGGUGCAGCGUCAUGAUUUGUACAACUUUUAAUGGCCAUGGGGUGUAGAUUGGCCUGAGCAAAUUUGGUGCCGGUGGAACGAAAGCUUUAGGAGGAGUUAGCCACAUUCCAAUGUGUGCGAAUCAACCAAAAAUGCGAAAUAGCCCUUUAACCGUACAUUUUGCAGACACGUGCACAUUGACUUUUUCGUAGAUCUUAUUGAGAUACACGUGAUUAUCAAAUUUUGUUUCAAUAUGACAAAGCGUACAGGCGUGACACUCAACAAUGUGUAUUUUCACCUUAGGGGACAAGAAAAAAUGGACUUUUUUCUCCUGCCAUGGGGGGGCGCUCUUUUGGGGAGUAAAAAUUCCUUCACAAAUGUGUUGAUGGCUGGACAUUGCAUCAUCCUAGAGAACUUGGAGGCCAGUGAGGACAAAAAUAAAAAGUUAUAAGACUUUUAAGAAUGUGGAUUUUUGGGUUAUCUUUGGCGCCCCCUACAACGUAAACCGUGGGGUGCAGCGUCAUGAUUUGUACAACUUUGAAUGGCCAUGGGGUGUAGAUUGGCCUGAGCAAAUUUGGUGCCGGUGGAACGAAAGCCUUCGGAGGAGUUAGCGAAAUUCCAAUGUGUGCGGAUCGGCAAAAAAUGCGAAAUAACCCUUUAACCGUACAUUUGACAGAUACGCCCACACUGACUUUUUUGUAGAUCGUAUUGAGAUACAUGUGUGUGUCAAUUUUUGUGUCAUUUUGACAAAGCGUACAGGCGUCAGGUGAGUUUUCACCAUAGGGGGCGCUAUGGAGCCAUUUUUCAUUUUUUUGUUUGGGCGACUUCAGAAUAUCAAAUUUUUCACCAGGCCCGGUCGUCCUGCCAAAUUUCCUGAGUUUUCGCCAGUGGGAAGUGGGCCAUUUUCCAGUUUAAAGCGGAGGAAAAAUAACUAGGACCCCGUUGGGGCACUUGCGGGCCCGAGCCGUGUCGCGUCCCCCCCAACGUGCUGCCUCCCCGUCCCAUUUGUGUCCUCUGGCCAUCGCCCUCUCCGGUAACGCCCAUCACUGCAAAGACCCUUUUCCUUCAUCGGCGUUUGCUGUUCUUCCUGCCAGUGCGUGUUGCUUUCACUUACACUUGCCACAGCCAGCCUCGUGAGUGCCUAGCCUAUUGGAUAUCACUGUCACCUACACAGGACAGUCAUUACCUUUCUAUUAAUACUUUGUGUUUUAAUUUCACAUUAAUUUCCAUAUUGUAUAAACGACUGGAAAAAACUUGAGCCCCUGCCCCUGUAUAAUCAUGUGCAUGUCUCUGUUCUAGCUCCAAGGUGAAUCUUCACUGCUCAUGUUCUCCUCAGAAGCACUCACCUCACUCCCCUCAGGUUACUGUACACAUGCACCAACUGCCUGCUUCAGGUUUGGAUGGAGCUUCAUGGUUGUCUUUUGGAGAAAUGACCAAUCAAGUUGUGUUUGAAAUUUGAUUUUUUUCAGGGGCAAAAGGAGCCUCUGCAUUCUUGUCAAAUAUGUAAAUAGCAUGUUUUUGCAGGUGCUAAAAACCAGACUCUGAGUGUGUGUGUGUGUGUGUGUGUGUGUGUGUGUGUGUGUGUGUGUGUGUGUGUGCGUGUGUGUGUGUCUGUGUGUGCGUUCAAGUCACAUGACAUAUUUAAUCGGAUGUAGCUGCAAGACGGAGCCUCGUUGACUCUCCGUUUCAACUUAUCUCAAAAGUGAGGAGCUCAACCUAUAUACCAGUUUUUAAAUUGUGUUGAUAGGCCAAAUAAAACCAGAGUUAUGAUAAAUUAUGUCCGCGAUACUUUUUUUCUGCUUAUUUUGAUCACGUUCGGCGCUCGAUCGCGCUGUAUGAGACAGGAAAACAUAGCAUGCAGACAUUAGCGACAGGUCUUACAGGCGGAAAAGGUUUGCCAAAAGAAAAAAAAAACACACCACAACAUCUCUCCUAUUGGUGGAAAACUUCACCACAACAACCAAUCCAAAAUUAUAUGGUGACUGAUUGACAAGGGGCGGGCGCUUACGUUCUUCCUGCAACAUGAGAAGGGAGGGAGGGACUCUCAGCAGGGAUGCAGUCUGGGAAACGUAGUUGCAAACCUAGCGACUUUGUUGUUAGAUUCAAUGACUUUUCAGACCCCCUAACGACUUUUUUUUAGAAAGAAAGGGACUUUUAUCGACUUCUUCUGGAGUUUAGAGACUCUGACAUGAAGCAGGCUUUCCUUACUGAGGAGUUAGCAACGCUGCUAAGGGUGCAGAGCCACACAUGCGCUCAGAGCUCUGCAUGGGAGACUGAAGCUGACAGAGCUGCAGCAGUUAGCAGGUUUCACCCUCAGAGACCACCAGGGGUUCAUGUUGAGGCAUUUUAAUUUUUUUUUUGUGCCAUAGACACUGUCAGCACAAUCUGCAGUUACACUAACAAAAAUGCUCCAAAAAACAAAGAAUUAUGGAAAAAUUACACAUGGACUGACAUAGAGGAGGAUCUACACAAGUUUUUUACAUCAUGUUUUACAUCAUGCAUCAUUUACAUCAUGUUUUUUUGUAGUGGCAUAAAUAAAAAGUGACAUUUGUGAGACUAUACAGUGUUUUGUAAAUAAUUUUACAAAGAACGCCUGGGCCAUUGCCUGCAUUUUGAUGAAAAUAGUGUAAAUCACUAUGUUCUUUGUUAAAAAUUUGCAUAUGUUUUGAAGUUUACAAUUUUUAUUUGAAGUUUAAGUUUUAAAAACAGUUCAUCACACAUAUUUGUGGUUUUCACAGUAAAAAUGUUACUUUUUUCCACUCGGAUUUUAUGUUUUGUGUGUGAAUUUGGGUCCAUUGUGUAAAUUCAGUAUGUCAACAUGAUAAAAUAACUGUAAAUUCGCACAGGUGAGGUUGUGCUGAAAAAAAUGAUACCAGGCAAGGCACGUGAUUGUCAAAUUUUGUGUCAAUAUGACAAAGCGUAUAGGCGUGAAUCUCAACAAUAUGUAUUUUCACCUUAGGGGACAAGAAAAAAUGGACUUUUUUCUCCUGCCAUGGGGGGGCGCUCUUUUGGGGAGUAAAAAUUCCUUCACAAAUGUGUUGAUGGCUGGACAUUGCAUCAUCCUAGAAAACUUGGAGGCCAGUGAGGACAAAAAUAAAAAGUUAUAAGACUUUGAAAUAUGUGGAUUUUAGGGUUAUCUUUGGCGCCCCCUAGAACCUAAACCGUGGGGUGCAGCGUCAUGAUUUGAAUAACUUUUAAUGGCCAUGGGGUGUAGAUUGUCCUGAGCAAAUGUGGUGCCGGUGGAACGAAAGCCUUAGGAGGAGUUAGCCACAUUCCAAUGUUUGCGGAUCGGCAAAAAAUGCGGAAUAACCCUUUAACCGUACAUUUGACAGAUACGCGCGCAUUGACUUUUUCGUAGAUCUUAUUGAGUUACAUGUGCGUGUCAAUUUUUGUGUCAUUUUGACAAAGCGUAUAGGCGUGACACUCAACAAUGUGUAUUUUCACCUUAGGGGACAAGAAAAAUGGACUUUUUUCUCCUGCCAUGGGGGGGCGCUCUUUUGGGGAGUAAAAAUUCCUUCACAAAUGUGUUGAUGGCUGGACAUUGCAUCAUCCUAGAAAACUUGGAGGCCAGUGAGGACAAAAAUAAAAAGUUAUAAGACUUUUAAAUAUGUGGAUUUUAGUGUUAUCUUUGGCGCCCCCUAGAACCUAAACCUUGGGGUGCAGCGUCAUGAUUUUGAUAACUUUUAAUGGCCACGGGGUGUAGAUUGGCCUGAGCAAAUGUGGUGCCGGUGGAACGAAAGCCUUCGGAGGAGUUAGCGAAAUUCCAAUGUGUGCGGAUCGGCAAAAAAUGCGAAAUAACCCUUUAACCGUAAUUUUGACAGAUACGGCCGCACUGACUUUUUUGUAGAUCUUAUUGAGAUACAUAUGUGUGUCAAUUUUUGUGUCAAUAUGACAAAGCGUACAGGCGUGACAGUCAAUAGUGUGAAUUUCCACCUUAGGGGGCGCUAUGGAGCCAUUUUGCAUUUUCUUGUUUGGGCGACUUCAGAAUAUCGAAUUUUUCACCUGGCCCGGUCGUCCUGCCAAAUUUCAUGAGUUUUCGCCAGUGGGAAGUGGGCCAUUUUCCAGUUCAAAGGGGAGGAAAAAGAAGAAAGAAAGAAAGAAUUACUAUGUUCUUUGUUAAAAAUUUGCAUAUGUUUUGAAGUUUACAAUUUUUAUUUGAAGUUUAAGUUUUAAAAACAGUUCAUCACACAUAUUUGUGGUUUUCACAGUAAAAACGUUACUUUUUUCCACUCGGAUUUUAUGUUUUGUGUGUGAAUUUGGGUCCAAUGUGUAAAUAUAGUAUGUCAAAAUGGUAAAAUAACUGUAAAUUGACACAGGUGAGGUUGUGCUGAAAAAAAUGAUACCAGGCAAGGCAAGGUAAAAAUUUUGUAAGAGGAAAUAUAAAGGUAAAAUCUAAAGUAGUCAAAAACGGCCAAUAGUGACUCACAGACUCCACAGACAAGUCCCUUUGGCGCCACUCAGUGGGCAAAACUACUUUGUCUACUGUAAUGUAUAUUUGGGUCAUCUUUGGCGCCCCCUAAAACGUAAACCGUGGGGUGCAGCGUCAUGAUUUUUACAACUUUGAAUGGCCAUGGAGUGUAGAUUGGCCUGAGCAAAUUUGGUGUCAGUGGGACGAAAGCCUUAGGAGGAGUUAGCGAAAUUCCAAUGUGUGCGAAUCGGCAAAAAAUGCAAAAUAGCCCUUUUACCGUACAUUAUACAGAUACGCGCUCUUUGACUUUUUCGUAGAUCUAAUUGAGAUACACAUGAUUGUCAAUUUUUGUGUCAUUUUGCCAAAGCGUACAGGCGUGACAGUCAACAAUGUGUAUUUUCACCUUAGGGGACAAGAAAAAAUGGACUUUUUUCUCCUGCCAUGGGGGGCGCUCUUUUGGGGAGUAAAAAUUCCUUCACAAAUGUGUUGAUGGCUGGACAUUGCAUCAUCCUAGAAAACUUGGAGGCCAGUGAGGAUAAAAAUAAAAAGUUAUAAGACUUUUAAAAAUGUGGAUUUUUGGGUUAUCUUUGGCGCCCCCUAGAACGUAAACCGUGGGGUGCAGCGUCAUGAUUUGAAUAACUUUUAAUGGCCAUGGGGUGUAGAUUGGCCUGAGCAAAUGUGGUGCCGGUGGAACGAAAGCCUUCGGAGGAGUUAGCGAAAUUCCAAUGUGUGCGGAUCGGCAAAAAAUGCGAAAUAACCCUUUAACCGUACAUUAGACAGAUACGCGCGCAUGGACUUUUUUGUAGAUCUUAUUGAGAUACAUGUGUGUGUCAAUUUUUGUGUCAUUUUGACAAAGCGUACAGGCGUGACAGUCAA